UACGUAGGGUGCAAGCGUUAAUCGGAAUUACUGGGCGUAAGGCGAGCGCAGGCGGUUUUGUAAGUCAGAUGUGAAAUCCCCGGGCUUAACCUGGGAAUGGCAUUUGGGACUGCAAGGCUGGAGUGCGGCAGAGGAGACUGGAAUUCCUGGUGUAGCAGUGAAAUGCGUAGAUAUCAGGAGGAAUACCGAUGGCGAAGGCAGGUCUCUGGGCUGACACUGACGCUCAUGCACGAAAGCGUGGGGAGCAAACAGG
rnacentral:rRNA from 1 species